UGCAUUUGUGCGGGUGGGAAAAAGCCUUCUUUCCGGUGGCUGGAGGAAGCCCCAGGCCGCGCGGCGUGGCAGGUGGAACGCAGGCUGCAUUGCAGCCGGCCUCCCGGCCUCUGCCAGGGAUGGCUUGUGCAGCGGGCAGACCGCGCGACCGGAGCCGUGGCCCGAACGCAGCCACAGUACCUGCCCGGCGCCGACGCCGGUUCCCAGAACGCAGGGCACGCCCCCCCUCGAGUGUCCUGCGGGUACUUGGUAGCCACUGUUACCCAGGAACUUCCGUUGUCUUUUCAACAGACGCCAUCAGUCUUACGUUUCUGUUCAGGUCUCGGUGUGGAAGGCCCGCGUCAUCUGAAAUGGAGAAAGGGUGGGGGCUUCAGAUGUAGUGUGUUCAGGAGAAGAGCAUCGUGCUGCUUUGUCAUGAAAGACCACGGUGUGGAACUGGACACAUCCAAAGUCGUAGAGUAAAAUCCCGUCUUCAUCCCGAGGUGGCGAGUCUGUUUUUCAGGGCAAAGACUGAACCAGGAAGAUGAAGAUCAAAAAAGAAAAGGCUCAUGAGACCAGACCGCCAAUGACUUGCCAAAGACGACUGCCCCGCUGAAAACUACCACACCGAGAUAAGAAAGUUUUGUCUCCUGGAUUCCGCAAAUACUGCCAGCCCUUCCUAUUUCUCAAUGACCACCAAAGGUGGCCCCAGUUCUUCCAGCCAAAAGUCCCUAGUACAGCCCAAAUGGUAAAAAAGACCUGACACUCUUCAAAUGGGGGUGACUUCUAGGGCCCCCCUGUCUUGGGGCCCAAGAACCUUGUCCAGGAGCACUAAAUAAAGCCACGUGGUUUGGCCACACUCUUUCUUUCUCUCUCUCUGUCUUUUCUUUUUGCCACCGCCACUGAAAAAUCUUACACUA